UCUCCGUUGGUGAACCAGCGGAGGGAUCAUUACCGAGUUUUCCUACUCCCAAACCCCUGUGUACUUAUACCUUUACUGUUGCUUCGGCGGGUUAACGCUCCAGAAGGCCCAAAAAGCCGCCGGAACCAGGCGCCCGCCGGGGGACCCAAACUCUUGUAUUUCUUACUUUGCAUGUCUGAGUGGAAUCAUAAACAAAUGAAUCAAAACUUUCGACAACGGAUCCCUUGGUUCUGACAUCGAUGAAGAACGCAGC
rnacentral:misc_RNA from 1 species